rnacentral:rRNA from 1 species
AUGCCGUCUGGUCAGGAGGAGCAGCGGCACAGGACGGUGAGGUCGGAGCCGCCGAAGCGGCCCGCGGGGCGGACCAAGUUCCAGGAGACGCGCCACCCGCUGUACCGCGGCGUGCGCCAGCGGGGGCCCGCCGGGCGGUGGGUCUGCGAGGUGCGCGUGCUCGGGAUGAGGGGCUCCAGGCUCUGGCUCGGCACCUUCGUCACCGCCGAGAUGGCGGCGCGCGCCCACGACGCCGCCGUGCUCGCGCUCUCCGGCCGCAAAGCCUGCCUCAACUUCGCCGACUCCGCCUGGCGGAUGCUGCCUGUGCUCGCGGCCGGCUCCUUCGGCUUCGGCAGCGCGCGGGAGAUCAAGACCGCCGUCGCCGUCGCCGUCCUCGCGUUCCAGCGGCAGCAGAUCGUUCUUCCAGCCGCGUGCCCGGCGGCGGAGCCGGCCGUCGCCCCGAGCGGCGCGCUGUUCUCCAUGUCGUCAGGCGACUUGCUGGAGCUCGACGACGAGGAGUGGUUUGGCGGCAUGGUUGCCGGGUCGUACUACGAGAGCUUGGCGCAGGGGAUGCUCGUGGAGCCGCCGGACGCCGGAGCCUGGCGAGAGGACAGCGAGCACAGCGGCGUGGCGGAGACGCAGACGCCGUUGUGGAGCUAA